CCUACGGGGGGCAGCAGUGGGGAAUAUUGCACAAUGGGCGCAAGCCUGAUGCAGCCAUGCCGCGUGUGUGAAGAAGGCCUUCGGGUUGUAAAGCACUUUCAGCGGGGAGGAAGGCGUUAAGGUUAAUAACCUUGUCGAUUGACGUUACCCGCAGAAGAAGCACCGGCUAACUCCGUGCCAGCAGCCGCGGUAAUACGGAGGGUGCAAGCGUUAAUCGGAAUUACUGGGCGUAAAGCGCACGCAGGCGGUCUGUCAAGUCGGAUGUGAAAUCCCCGGGCUCAACCUGGGAACUGCAUUCGAAACUGGCAGGCUAGAGUCUUGUAGAGGGGGGUAGAAUUCCAGGUGUAGCAGUGAAAUGCGUAGAGAUCUGGAGGAAUACCGGUGGCGAAGGCGGCCCCCUGGACAAAGACUGACGCUCAGGUGCGAAAGCGUGGGGAGCAAACAGGAUUAGAUACCCUAGUAGUC
rnacentral:rRNA from 1 species